rnacentral:tmRNA from 1 species
AUUGGUUUCGACUUGUUUCAAUCGGGUAUAGGUUGCGUGUCGAGGAAGCUUGGUUGGCCUCGUAAAACAUCCGAGCACAAAUUAAACGCUAACGACACGUUACGUUUCAGCGAUUUCCAGAAGUCAUUGGCCGCUCCAGCUAUGCCGGAGCCGGCUCCGAUGGCCAUGGGAAUGGCUGUUUAAGCCUUAACUACACCGUAGUUAAGCCCGUUUAUCUGUAACGCCUGCUAACAGGCUAAACGGACGACAGCAGGCUGGUUUCGCCGGAUGCCUUCGACGGCGAGACGAGAUUUUAGGGGGCUUGGUCCCAAAACCAUCCUGUUUGCCGGAGGGUGAGGGACGAGACCAAAAAGACAAACUACACAUGUAGACGCUUAUAUCACGAGACUCAAGGACCCGGGUUCGAUUCA